rnacentral:rRNA from 1 species
UGGGGAAUAUUGCACAAUGGGCGAAAGCCUGAUGCAGCAACGCCGCGUGAGUGAUGAAGGCCUUCGGGUUGUAAAGCUCUGUCUUUUGGGACGAUAAUGACGGUACCAAAGGAGGAAGCCACGGCUAACUACGUGCCAGCAGCCGCGGUAAUACGUAGGUGGCAAGCGUUGUCCGGAUUUACUGGGCGUAAAGGAUGCGUAGGCGGAUUUUUAAGUGAGAUGUGAAAUACCCGGGCUUAACUUGGGUGCCGCAUUUCAAACUGGGAAUCUAGAGUGCGGGAGAGGAGAAUGGAAUUCCUAGUGUAGCGGUGAAAUGCGUAGAGAUUAGGAAGAACACCAGUGGCGAAGGCGAUUCUCUGGACCGUAACUGACGCUGAGGCAUGAAAGCGUGGGUAGCAAACAGGAUUAGAUACCCUGGUAGUCCACGCCGUAAACGAUGAGUACUAGGUGUAGGAGGUAUCGACCCCUUCUGUGCCGCAGUUAACACAAUAAGUACUCCGCCUGGGAAGUACGAUCGCAAGAUUAAAA